AGCGAACGCUGGCGGCAGGCCUAACACAUGCAAGUCGAGCGGACUCUUCGGAGUUAGUGGCGGACGGGUGAGUAACACGUGGGAACGUGCCUUUAGGUUCGGAAUAGCUCCUGGAAACGGGUGGUAAUGCCGAAUGUGCCCUUCGGGGAAAGAUUUAUCGCCUUUAGAGCGGCCCGCGUCUGAUUAGCUAGUUGGUGAGG
rnacentral:rRNA from 1 species